CCGUCCCCGUGGUGUCCCCAUGUCCCCAAUGUCACCCCCGUCCCCGUGUCACUCCCCCUCCGUGUCCGCCCCGUCCCUGUGUCCCUGCGUCACCGCUGCCCCCCAAUGUCACCACUGCCCCCGAUGUCCCCAAUGUCCCCCCCCAAUGUCCCCACAGAAGCGCUGGGCCAAUGAGCGGCUGCUGCAGGGCAAGAAGAGCCUGGGGGAGGAGGAGAACCUCUAUGAGGGCCUGGAUUUGGCGCAGUGCUCCAUGUAUGAGGACAUCUCGCAGCGCCCGCAGCCCACCUAUGAGGACGUGGGGACGCGCGGAGCCACCGCCGCCGGCCUGGAGAAACCCUGAGGGGGUGGGGGGGCGGUGACGUCACGCUGACGUCACGGUGACGUCACGGCGGCGGCACGGCGGGGACAGCGCCCGCUGCUGUUUGGGGUUUGCGGCCUUUUGGGUUUGUUACACAAUAAAGAGCGCUGCGCUCA